CCGCCCAAGCAUACAGAUCACUAAUAAUUAUAGCUCACUAAUGAUUAUUUACUUUCCUUGACCGCAAGUAAAGACAUGUUGAUUCAUAGAGUUCAUGGAAUUUUACGAUUCAUGAGAGGCACGGAAAAAUUAGAAUAUAAACAAGCGUGCUGAUCCACACCCGUGUGCACACAGGUGUACACACGGGUGUUCACAGACACAAACUACACCCUUCUUGGCUGCUACGUCAAAGCACAUUGUGCGCUGUCAAUCUUGCGUACUGCACAAUAACAUGCAAUAUUUAGUAUCUACUGUUAUCUACUGUUAACUAGUUUAUUGUGAUGGUGUUGUAUUUAGUAUGUUGCUCUUUUUUGUUUGUUUUCUCUUCUAUUUUUUCUUAUCCCCAUACAGGUGAUCCAGGUGUUUUGUUUGUUUUUCUUUUUUUUUCUUCCCCCCUUUCUCACCAUCUCAUCUCUCCCUCUCAUUCUUUCAUUCUUUCUCCCUCUCCUAUCCCCAGUCAUGUCUGUCCCGUCUGUAACAACCAAAUAUCAAAUCAAAUAAAUGCAUAAUUAUAAUAAAGGUCAAUCAAAUGGACCAAUAUGGCAAGGCCAUGAUGAUGCAAUUGGUAAAAUAAAUCGCUUGGCAUCUUUCUUAGCCUUCAGACAACAAUUCUGAUGGCUAAAGAUCCAAACAGGACAGGCAAAAAAAAAGAAUAUAAACAUUUGUGUGCUGAUCCUAAUAGUGGUAACAUAUCUCACAGAUGUCACUGUGACUUUCAGUUUGGAAAUAAACAUGAAAAAGGAACACCAAAGGUUUCAGGAAAUAACAGUUUUGAAAUAUGGGGUAGCAUGAUGGUUAACACUGUUGCCUCACAGCAAGAGAGUCCUGUUUUCAGAUCGACUGUGUGACCGAGGCCCUUUCUGUGUGGAGUUGAACCAUGAGAAGGUGGUAUUCAUAAAACUAUUAGAAACAAAAAUAAGACAAUGCAGUUAUUUGUUUUCUUUUUAAAAAAUGUGUUUUUAAUAAAAAUGGAAGUGUAACUGCCUGUCCUUUCA
ensembl:lncRNA